UACGUAGGUGGCAAGCGUUGUCCGGAUUUACUGGGCGUAAAGAGCGCGCAGGCGGUCGUUCAAGUCGCGUGUGAAAGCCCCCGGCUCAACUGGGGAGGGUCACGCGAUACUGAUCGACUCGAAGGCAGGAGAGGGUAGUGGAAUUCCCGGUGUAGUGGUGAAAUGCGUAGAUAUUCGCAAGAACACCAGUGGCGAAGGCGGCUCACUGGCCCGGUACUGACGCUGAGGUGCGAAAGCGUGGGGAGCAAACAGG
rnacentral:rRNA from 1 species